CUAAUACCGUAUAAUGACUUCGGUCCAAAGAUUUAUCGCCUGAGGAUGAGCCCGCGUCGGAUUAGCUAGUUGGUGAGGUAAAAGCUCACCAAGGCGACGAUCCGUAGCUGGUCUGAGAGGAUGAUCAGCCACACUGGGACUGAGACACGGCCCAGACUCCUACGGGAGGCAGCAGUGGGGAAUAUUGGACAAUGGGCGAAAGCCUGAUCCAGCAAUGCCGCGUGAGUGAUGAAGGCCUUAGGGUUGUAAAGCUCUUUUACCCGGGAUGAUAAUGACAGUACCGGGAGAAUAAGCCCCGGCUAACUCCGUGCCAGCAGCCGCGGUAAUACGGAGGGGGCUAGCGUUGUUCGGAAUUACUGGGCGUAAAGCGCACGUAGGCGGCUUUGUAAGUUAGAGGUGAAAGCCCGGGGCUCAACUCCGGAAUUGCCUUUAAGACUGCAUCGCUAGAAUUGUGGAGAGGUAAGUGGAAUUCCGAGUGUAGAGGUGAAAUUCGUAGAUAUUCGGAAGAACACCAGUGGCGAAGGCGACUUACUGGACACAUAUUGACGCUGAGGUGCGAAAGCGUGGGGAGCAAACA
rnacentral:rRNA from 1 species